rnacentral:rRNA from 1 species
UACGGAGGGGGCUAGCGUUGUUCGGAAUUACUGGGCGUAAAGCGCACGUAGGCGGCUUUGUAAGUUAGAGGUGAAAGCCCGGGGCUCAACUCCGGAAUUGCCUUUAAGACUGCAUCGCUAGAAUUGUGGAGAGGUGAGUGGAAUUCCGAGUGUAGAGGUGAAAUUCGUAGAUAUUCGCAAGAACACCAGUGGCGAAGGCGGCUCACUGGCCCGAUACUGACGCUGAGGCACGAAAGCGUGGGGAGCAAACAGG